GGGCCCGCACAAGCGGUGGAGGAUGUGGCUUAAUUCGAGGCUACGCGAAGAACCUUAUCCUGGUCUUGACAUGUUUGAGAAUCCUCCCGAAAGGGAGGGGUGCCCCUCGGGGAGCUCUUACACAGGUGCUGCAUGGCUGUCGUCAGCUCGUGUCGUGAGAUGUCGGGUUAAGUCCCUUAACGAGCGAAACCCUUGUCCCUAGUUGCCAGCGAGUUAUGUCGGGGACUCUAGGGAGACUGCCGGUGUUAAACCGGAGGAAGGUGGGGAUGACGUCAAGUCCUCAUGGCCUUUAUGACCAGGGCUGCACACGUCCUACAAUGGGACGUACAAAGGGAAGCGAACCCGCGAGGGCAAGCAAAUCUCAAAAAGCGUCUCUCAGUUCGGAUUGCAGGCUGCAACUCGCCUGCAUGAAGCUGGAAUCGCUAGUAA
rnacentral:rRNA from 1 species